GGACGUGAUAAGCUGCGAUAAGCUGUGGGAAGGUGCAAAUGACCGUUGAUCCGCAGAUUUCCGAAUGGGACAACCCGGCAGGUUGAAGACCUGUCAUCCUGCUAAGCAGGAGGCUAACGAGGGGAACUGAAACAUCUUAGUACCCUCAGGAAAAGAAAAUAACAAUGAUUCCCCCAGUAGUGGCGAGCGAACGGGGAAGAGCCCAAACCGUGGAGGUCUCGGCCUUCACGGGGUUGUAGGACCACGACGUUGGACUUGGUUCGAUUAGAGGAACGUUUUGGAAAGAACGACCAUAGAGAGUGACAGUCUCGUACUCGACAAUCGAAUCGGCCAUAGUGGUAUCCUGAGUAGGGCGGGACACGUGAAAUCCUGUCUGAAUCCGGCGGGCCCAUCCGCCAAGGCUAAAUACUCGUAAGAGACCGAUAGCGAACCAGUACCGUGAGGGAAAGGU
rnacentral:rRNA from 1 species